AUACGGAGGGUGCGAGCGUUGUCCGGAUUUAUUGGGUUUAAAGGGUGCGUAGGUGGUUUUAUAAGUCAGUGGUGAAAUCCGGUCGCUUAACGAUCGAUGUGCCAUUGAUACUGUAGGACUUGGAUAUGUUGGAGGUUGCCGGAAUGGGUGGUGUAGCGGUGAAAUGCAUAGAGAUCACCCAGAACGCCAAUUGCGAAGACAGGUGACUACGACAUUAUCGACACUGAGGCACGAAAGCAUGGGUAGC
rnacentral:rRNA from 1 species